UACGUAGGGUGCAAGCGUUAUCCGGAAUUAUUGGGCGUAAAGCGUCCGCAGGCGGCUUUUUAAGUCUGUUGUCAAAGCCCACAGCUCAACUGUGGAUCGGCAAUGGAAACUGGGAAGCUAGAGUGUGGUAGGGGCAGAGGGAAUUCCCAGUGUAGCGGUGAAAUGCGUAGAUAUUGGGAAGAACACCGGUGGCGAAAGCGCUCUGCUGGACCUGCACUGACACUGAGGGACGAAAGCUAGGGGAGCGAAAGGG
rnacentral:rRNA from 1 species